rnacentral:rRNA from 1 species
AUUGAACGCUGGCGGCAGGCCUAACACAUGCAAGUCGAACGGUAACAGGAAGAAGCUUGCUUCUUUGCUGACGAGUGGCGGACGGGUGAGUAAUGUCUGGGAAACUGCCUGAUGGAGGGGGAUAACUACUGGAAACGGUAGCUAAUACCGCAUAACGUCGCAAGACCAAAGAGGGGGACCUUCGGGCCUCUUGUCAUCGGAUGUGCCCAGAUGGGAUUAGCUAGUAGGUGGGGUAACGGCUCACCUAGGCGACGAUCCCUAGCUGGUCUGAGAGGAUGACCAGCCACACUGGAACUGAGACACGGUCCAGACUCCUACGGGAGGCAGCAGUGGGGAAUAUUGCACAAUGGGCGCAAGCCUGAUGCAGCCAUGCCGCGUGUAUGAAGAAGGCCUUCGGGUUGUAAAGUACUUUCAGCGGGGAGGAAGGGAGUAAAGUUAAUACCUUUGCUCAUUGACGUUACCCGCAGAAGAAGCACCGGCUAACUCCGUG